UUAAUCCAUGGGAAUGAGGUUCUCCCUCGAUUUAUAUCGAAACCGCUAUUUGGCUAAUGACUUCUGUGUAAUA
rnacentral:ncRNA from 2 species